CCCAGAGCCCCAGGGAGUUACGGAGAAGAGAGACGAGUACCGGAAACCAGGGGAAACGCAGAGCCGCCGAGGUGCUGCUGUCAAGAGCGGAGCCACAAGGUCUCGGGUGCAGGAGGAAGAAUCCCAGCCUUUGCUCCGAGACCUUCAUUUGACCGCAUGAGGCCCCAUUCGGGAGGGCGACCAGCUCUACUCAGCGUCCACUGCUGUAAAUUUGAGUCGGAUCUAAAAUACCAGCAAGACUGAGUCUGGUGUCUGGUGUCUGCUGUCAGGAUGGAGUCUGGUGUCUGACGAAACAGCUGGGCCCCACAGCCCUGGCAAAUGGAGGGAAGCAGAAGCCGCUUUGAAAGCCUCAGGAUUUCCAUCCAUUAUCUCACGUUCUCUGUUCUGCUCGCGGCUUUACAGACAGCGGGGGCCACGCGGGUCUAACCGCGUCUGCAUCGUCUGCAUCGUCACUCACCACCCCUCCCUCAGCAGCCCCGCCCCUGGACACACCCUCUACGCUGCUGACCAAUCAUCUUUCCUUUGACCCCGUCCUCUGUCGCGCCGGGCCCCGCCCUGAGCCCCACAUUCUCUGGGAAUCGGGCUGUAAAUGCACUGGUUUUCGAGACCCCUCUAAGCCUGGACACCCCUUCUCCUCUCCCAUCCCCACGUCUUGUGCACCUGUGGCCCUCCCCCACCGACGAUGUGGGGUCCUGCCUCUUGGUGAUGGCGGAGGCCUCAGGCCCACAGUGGAAAUCCAUCCGAUGGGCAUUCCUGGCGACCCAGCAAGCUCCAGAAUGCCCUGCUCCCCCUCUGGUGCCCUGGGUGCCCACCCAGUGUCUGCUGGCUGGCCCGGCCCGACUCCUGUCCCCGAGGACCCUGCUCCCUCCCUGCCGCCCAGCAGGUGUCUCUCCACGUCUACCAGGUGGGUUCUCCUCCUCCACCUGUACCUGCAGCUGGACACCUCCGGGGACAAGAAUUAUCAAGAGUCCUGGGGUGACAACACUGGCCUAGGGAGCUCUGCAGCCACCAGGCAGGUGGGAGCUCAGGAGCCACCGGGCAGUUCUGAGCUCUGGAAUGAGUUGCAGGCUGCAGAUCCCAAGGGGCCCUGGAGGCAUGGUUCACUCACGUCUCAUUUCCCAGGUCGCCCUCUCCCACUGCUCCCGACUCUGGAAGGUUCCCUGAGCCAACAUGAAGGCUCUUUGGAGACCC